rnacentral:rRNA from 1 species
GACGAACGCUGGCGGCGUGCUUAACACAUGCAAGUCGAACGGAAAGGCCCUGCUUUUGUGGGGUGCUCGAGUGGCGAACGGGUGAGUAACACGUGAGUAACCUGCCCUUGACUUUGGGAUAACUUCAGGAAACUGGGGCUAUUACCGGAUAGGAGCUCUUGCUGCAUGGGGGGGGUUGGAAAGUUUCGGCGGUUGGGGAUGGACUCGCGGCUUAUCAGCUUGUUGGUGGGGUAGUGGCUUACCAAGGCUUUGACGGGUAGCCGGCCUGAGAGGGUGACCGGCCACAUUGGGACUGAGAUACGGCCCAGACUCCUACGGGAGGCAGCAGUGGGGAAUAUUGCACAAUGGGCGGAAGCCUGAUGCAGCAACGCCGCGUGCGGGAUGACGGCCUUCGGGUUGUAAACCGCUUUCGCCUGUGACGAAGCGUGAGUGACGGUAAUGGGUAAAGAAGCACCGGCUAACUACGUG